GAUCGACUGGCCCAGUGGUGAAGGCGCCCGUCUUACACACGGGAGAUCGCAGGUUCGAACCCUGCGUCGAUCA
rfam:Penicillium steckii strain IBT 24891 PENSTE_contig001, whole genome shotgun sequence.